rnacentral:rRNA from 1 species
UACAGAGGGUGCAAGCGUUAAUCGGAUUUACUGGGCGUAAAGCGUGCGUAGGCGGUUCGUUAAGUCGGUUGUGAAAUCCCUGGGCUUAACCUGGGAACUGCAGUCGAUACUGAUGAACUAGAGUGCGGUAGAGGGUGGCGGAAUUCCGGGUGUAGCGGUGAAAUGCGUAGAUAUCUGGAGGAAUACCGGUGGCGAAGGCGGCAUCCUGGACCGACAUUGACGCUGAACGGCGAAAGCUAGGGGAGCAAACGGG